AUUCAGCUUUGCUCAAAGAGGCUGUUGACUGGGGAGGAGAGUGUUGUUUUGCACAGCCGGCUGACGCAGGUGCCUGCAGACACUGCUGGCGCUCAACCAGAUUAACAAGAGUGAUGGCAGCAGUGAGGGAAACUGAAAAACACAGAAGCAUCAAGUCAUUUUUCAUAGAAUGAUUUAUCAUUUACCUGGGGAUGGACACUGUCAAGGUAGCCCAAGAUGCUGGGAUAAAACAAAAUGUGAGCUGUGGGCAGGUCUUAUCUAAACCCCGCCCCUCACUCCUGCUGCUGAGGUGGCUGUGGAGAGUUCUGGGAAAAACAACAAAGGCAAUAGAGGAAAAAGAGAGGGGGGAGGGCGGACCAUGAGCUCACCCCCUGAAUGCUGGCCAAGUCGAUAGUCAGAUCUGGCCUGCAUAGCAGCAGAAAGCAAAGGAGAGACAGAAAGAGUGAGAGAGGGAGGGUAGAAGAGGACGAAUCCCUCCGCCG
ensembl:lncRNA